rnacentral:rRNA from 1 species
AUCAGCGGGGGAAGACGAUGCUGUAGAGCUUGUCUGGCUUGGUGGAGAGACAUAAGAGGUGCAGACUAAGUGGAAGACUCCCGGUGCAGCUCUGUCCCGAGAAGGGACCUGGCGACCCCGGCUCAUUUUUUUCACUGGCCCAGUGAAGGGGAGGUGGCGAGGAUGGGUGGCAAACCGCACCCCAGGGGGUGGUUUUCACUUCUGGUGCCAAGUGUCAGGCUGUAUGCUCAAGGGACAGUGCCAGGUGGGGAGUUUGACUGGGGCAGUAGGUACACCUGUCAAACCCUACUGCAGGUGUCCUCUGGAGAGCACAGGGAGGACACAAAUCUCUCGUGGAGCAGAAGGAAAAAAGCUCGCUUGAACUUGAUUUUCAAUACAGACAGUAAAAGUGGGGCCUCAGGAUCCUUCUGACCUUUUUGGGUUUUAAGCAGGAGGUGUCAGAAAAAUUACCAAGCGUUCAUAGCCAUGUGGCUUUCUGAUCCUUUGAUAUCGGCUCUUCCUAUCAUUGUGAAGCAGAAUUCAUCAAGGGUUGGAUUGUUCACCCACUACUAGGGAACAUGAGCUGGGUUUAGACCGUCGUGAGACAGGUUAGUUUUACCCUACUGAU